GACGAACGCUGGCGGCGUGCCUAAUACAUGCAAGUCGAACGCUGAAGAGAGGAGCUUGCUCUUCUUGGAUGAGUUGCGAACGGGUGAGUAACGCGUAGGUAACCUGCCUUGUAGCGGAGGAUAACUAUUGGAAACGAUAGCUAAUACCGCAUAACAAUGGAUGACACAUGUCGUUUAUUUGAAAGGGGCAAUUGCUCCACUACAAGAUGGACCUGCGUUGUAUUAGCUAGUAGGUGAGGUAAUGGCUCACCUAGGCGACGAUACAUAGCCGACCUGAGAGGGUGAUCGGCCAAACUGGGACUGGGAAACGGCCCCAACUCCUACGGGAGGCAGCAGUAGGGAAUCUUCGGAAAUGGGGGCAACCCUGACCGAGCAAAGCCGCGUGAGUGAAGAAGGUUUUCGGAUCGUAAAGCUCUGUUGUAAGUCAAGAACGGGUGUGAGAGUGGAAAGUUCACACUGUGACGGUAGCUUACCAGAAAGGGACGGCUAACUACGUG
rnacentral:rRNA from 1 species